AGAUUUGUCAUAAUAAUGUUUACUAACAUGAACUAGAUCAGUAGAGCAAGACACAAACAGAAAAAAACAAAACACAAAUUGAUCAAGGUCAUCCGAACUCUCCAACGAACAAUGCAAGACUACAGACAGAGGAUGCAUAGGAUCGGAAUCGUUAUCUGGUGACAAAAUGACAACUGAUGGCAGAUUAACUUCAGGAUGAAGCAGAUAAGAAAGGAUUUGUCUAUCCAAAAAUAUCAUUACUUUCACAAGCCAAAACAUAAGUACAGGAUUGGAUUAGAUUGGAGAUAACCCACAAGGGGCAGAUCCAGGAUUUGGAGGAGGUGGUGGAGGGGGGGGGGGGUUUCAAAAUUUGUAUAAAUGACCCAAAAAACAGAGGUGGACCUGUGAGCUGGAAAUGAGCUUUUCUGAAUCCUGACAGGUCUGUUAAUGACUUUUAAGUUCCUCAAUAUACAAGGUUUUCAGUGGUGGAUCUGGGAAUUUUAAAUAACUUUGACAAAUUAGACGGGCUGCCCCCCCCCCCCUUGAAUCCACCACUGGUUUAUCCCCUCUUGAAAGAUGAUUUUAUCUUUAAUCUUGUACAUUAAGUAGGCCUAUACAGAAAAACAUUAAGGAGAGUCAGAAGAUUGGAUUCUUCUGUUGGAGAUUGGGCAGUACACUGGGAGACAAUCCCUUUCUCCUUUCUGAAGAGUGUACUGUGUUCUUUAACAUGCACAUUUUUUGACAAUUAAUUCUUAUAUUUUUGUGAUUCAUCAUUAGUGCUGCAAAAUUUUUUUUUUUUUUUGUGAAUUUGUUUCCAACUUUCUUGUAAAUUGGGGUAACUUUCAGAGAACUUUGCCUUUUCUAAUGUUUUUAUUUUAAAUGUUAUCUUAUGUUUUUGAUUGAAAUAAAUAAACCAAACUUAUAAACAAUUAAAUCCUACAAUAAAAUCCUAGCAUCCAUGUAAGAAAUAAGUUCCAUGUGGGAUAGAUCAGGAUAUAAGUGUGACCCCUUGAAGAUUUUGCAUUUUUGUUAAGCCAGUUUUAUGUUUUUCAUUUUUUUAAAUACACUUUUUUGUUUUAUGUGAAGUGCAUAGGUUUUUGCAUUAUGCGCUAUAAUAAUUUAACAUUAUUAUUAUUAUUAUUAUUAUUAUAAGGCCACGCCAAAAAUUGGACCAAUUUUAUGUUCAAUGAGGGUGAGCUUAUACUAAAGGAACUAUAGUAUGAUAUGCUAACAAGGCCUACACACUUGUAGCAUUUGCCAAUGACCCUGGUUAUCUUAAUUCCGGAUGAGUAGUAUACAUUUAUUGCAUGGCGUUCAAUAGAGCCUGUAUCCUACCAGCUAAAUUAUUAAACAUGAAUAAAUCAAGGACAAAAUUUUUGAUAUUUUUAUUGUUAUUUUCUUCACACUAACUGACUUAAAGGGUAACUUCUGCAGGCAAUCUCCAGGGGCGGAUCCAGAGAUGUCCGAAAGUGGGGCCAAUCGAGACAACACUACCCUAGUUGGUCCAGAGGAUUCCCCACAAAAUCUUCGUUUUCUAGACACCGGAAAAUAACCUAUUAGGUGUUUUGGGCAAUCAAUAAUUUUUUUUUCCUUCUUUAUUUAAAAAUUUUUUUUUUUUACUUUCCAAAAGAGGGGGUGGGGUGGGGAGAGGAGGUGGGCCCCAUAAAAUCCACCCCUGAUCUCACUGUAGUAUUUCAAUUAAAUCCAGGCUCCUUUUGAUAUAUUGUAGAACUGCUUUUUUUAUUACAGAAAAAGCAUAUUUCCCCCAGUUUUAAGGUUAUGUCAUCUAAAAUGUCUUUAAAUAUAAAAUUUCAAACAAUUUUAAACUAAUAUAAGAAUUAAUGUUUUCAUGGUCUAGUUACGAAAACUUGGCACGCUUUUCAGCGAAAUAAUUAACUUUUUAAUAAAAAUAAAUCUGUCGUAAUCAUGUGGUUUUGCGGGGUCAUUGCCUGGUUUAAUCGAUUGUUUACUGCAGAUCUUAAUUGAGAAACAUAUAAUUUAAUAUAAUAAUCUUAUUGUGUGUUUUUAAUUGACAAUGAAAAAACGACAAAGGGCUACUUCCACACAGAGAGGAUAUCCUGGCAUAAUGUCUUGAAAACUUGGCUCAACUAACUUCAACUGACAGUGUAGAAUUUCUUGCCAAGUUUUUUUACAGCCAAAUCAUAGUAGGGGUCCCAAGCCUUCCUGAGUCACAGGAGUCUGUCACGGAAAUCAGUACGGGAUGCAAAAAUCCCCCAAGUGAGGUAAGAAUUUCUAGUGAACCAACUCAUCUCCCUGCUUAUCUACCACAAAUUGCAAAUGUUUGUGUGCUUUUACUGCUGUGUUAUUGUCUCCUGAAGUUCCCUCUGUAGCACUUCCCAGCAUGUCGCUGUCUGGUGCUUGUCAUUGUGGUUGGACGGUCGUGUGCCCUUAUUUAGUAUAUCAUGCAGUAGUGGUCAUAAUUGGUCUUUACAUUGAGAGUCAAUAUCCUGGUCUUUGGGGUAAGUGUACUGAGUCUUUCAAUAUGCGGCUUGAAGAGACCAAACUCAGACAGAUACUUAAAUUCAUAAUGAAAACAGACUAUAGAAGUGAACCAGGGGUUCAAGUAUCCAUGGUAUAGCGUCCCCGCGCACACGAAAGGGCUGCCACUGACAUAAGUUUAGCCUACUAAACUACAGAGGCGGAUCCAGAGAUGUCUGAAAGGGGGGGCCGAAAGUGGGGCUGAUCAAGAUAACACAACCCUAGAGGGCAUUUCCCUACAAAAUUUAUUUUUUUCUAGAUGACCGAAAAUAACCUCUGAGGCGUUUUGGGUGAUCAAUUUUUUCUUUUUCUUUCUUUCUUUUUUUUAACUUUAAAAGAAGGGUUGGGGCAGGGCCUGGCCCGGCACCCCUUUCCCCCGUCCCCCAAAUCCACCCCUGAACUAUGCUACAGUUCUGUUGUUGAUUUUAGUUUUUUAUAUAUUAUUUAUAUUCCUCAAUUAUGAAGCAGUUAAUUAAUACAAGAUGCAUACAAGGUAGUCACAUUAAACAAAGCAAAGAAAACAAAGAGUGAACAAAUAAUUAAAUAGGUUAUGAACUUUGUUCUUCCAAUUAGCUGACCUGGUUAGGUGUCAAGAAUGUUUAAACAUGGAGAUACUCAGCCUGUGGCCUGUUCAACCAUAAUUGAGAAAUUGUUUCAAUUGAAGACUUCCAGGAAAAUAUUUAUCAUCAUUUUAGGUGAUUUUCAAGAUUGGAAAUUCUUGAAAGUGAUUUAGAUAAUUUUUCCGCGUAAAUUGAUCUUUCAAUUUUGAUUUCAAUUUAAUCAUAGAGAUAUUACUACAGAGAUAAUACGUCCCAUGGUUUAAUAUUAAUAUUGAAAAAGAUAUCUUCCUCAUAUUACACUAUCUAUCAGUGGAAUAAUAUUGAAAAUUUAUAAUCAGUGGUCCCAAGUUUGCAGAAGCCACUUCAAAAAUAGUAGUGCCUGCCUGCCCCCCCUUCCCCCUCCUAAAUUUGUCAAAAUUAUAAAACAAAUGGAGAAAAAGAAGAAAUUAUGUUAAAAGUCAAGUCUGAGAGUGCCAUUUCCGGCCAUCUAGAGGUGCUAUAUUCAUAGUAAAUUUUCUUCCCUCAGCUGCCCCAACCAUGGUAGGGCUGUGGUGGUCUAGACCCACCAUCUGUGAAAGGUACCCUCCCCCGGCCCCGCUUCUGAAUUUCUCGAUCCGCCACUUGAUAGGCUACAGUAGAUUUCUGGACUCUCUUGGGGGGUAUUUUUUCACAUUCUUAUACCCUUGGUCAGCUGAUUUGAGGGAGGCAGUCAAUAUGUAGUAGUUUUUAAAAAAACAUGCAAACUUUCUGAAUUUGUGGUCGAUGGAUUAUAAUGCGACACAAAUGUAUUAGCAGAUGAUGAUCACUCUGAAAUUUUAAACUUAUAAAAGUAAUAACAUUGUGAUAAUUUAAUAAACAUAAUACACUACUGCCCAAAUAACAUCAAUCAAGUAAAUAAUACUAAUAUAUAAAAUCAAUUAUUAAACCUGUUGUAGUCUAUUGUUUCAAAUCUCGACCUUUAGGAUAAAAAUAGAACAAUAACAUUAGUGUGAAAGGUUCAGGGUCACAGUGAUUGUUCCCCUUGACAUACACAGGGUUGUAUUACCUAGUUUGAACAGUACAUGCUUUCUGUGAAACACCCUAUACCAGCCUUUUCACAGACUGCUUUGUUCUUUGUAUACAGUAUGUAAUAGUUCUUUGUGUGUAAAGUUAAGUAGUAGAUAAAAUGGCCAACUUAAGGGUUUGUAGUAGUACAAGUUAGGCCCAACCUUCCUAACUGACAUAACAUUAAAUAAACAAAGACAACAAAGGAUUAACAUUACGCAGAAAAGUUCUCUUGGUUAGAGUUGCAGUCAGAUAAAAAAAAAACAUGUUUGUUAAAUGGUUCUGUUUGUUUUUUUUUUUGUUUUUUUUAAAGAGAAACACUGAAGAUUAACACAAACUUUUUUUUUUUUUUUUCAAACCUUAAAGAAAACAUAUUCAUUGUAAUGGUUUUUGAAAAACUAAAGAGGAUAAAGCCAUACCAAAACAUGUUUUCUUUUCAGCCGCACCUCAAAUAGAGUAUGUUUGUUCCGUAACAUCUCCUUGGUAUGUAUUGUGUGGGUUUUUUUUUUUUUUAAUAUAGAGAACGAUGAACCCGUACAACAAACUUCUUUUCUUUUUUGCCGCAGUUUUUUUUUGACAGUGAGGCUCAUGUAUGAUUGUUUUACCUUGUUAAUCUUACCCUUUAUUAAUUGAAUAAAAUAAAAUAAAAUAUAUAUGGGGGUUUUUU